AAUCCGAACUCACAAACAUUCAUACAAGCUAGAACAUCUGAAGUUCUGCCGCCUGUCACGUGGCUUCUACUCUUGCUACCCAGAGCUUCGAGAGCAGAUCAUCCAUCUCAACCACGCAGGACUAAUUAGCUUGAAGAGUUAGCUAUUCCUGAAAUCCCUGAGGAGAAUCACAACAAGCUUCCAGCUAAUCUGUCAGUGACUUGUGCCAACGUCUUAUGAACACCUCCUGUGAUCGUGCUGUGACUUUGACAACCACCCUGAGGAAGCAGCACUGUCAGUUUACACAGUGAAUCACAGGCAGAAUUAGGAAUGCGAUAAAGCCUGGUGUCGUUCUCUCUUGGUCCUGUUCAGAGCAGGGCAUAUAGUUACCCACUCCAAGCUGUCUCUGCAUGACUGUUGUAACAUCAAAGUGAUCUCUCAGCACAACUGUGACCAACAUUACAUUUAAUAGCAUCUGUAAAGGAACAAUCAUGAACAGGCAUUGGGUAGUGCCAUGCUUUUGUUAGGAUAAAAUGCAUGCUGAGGGGUGGGCAUUGUGGCACAGCAGGUUAAGCUGCUACCUGGGAUGCCCACAUCCCUCCCUAGAGUGCCAACUGGGGUCCCAGCUACUCAGCUUCCAUCCCAAUACCCAUUUAUGCAACUAGGAAGCAGUGGAUGAUGGCUUGAGUACUUGAGUUCUUGUUAUCCAGGUGGGAGACCCAGUUGAAAUUCCUGGCUCCUGGCUUCAGCCUUGCCCAUCCUUUGCUGUUCUGGCCAUUUGUUCUGUCCCUCCUACCUGUUAAAUAAAUAAAUCUUAAAAAAAAAAUUAAAAGUUUAAUGGAGAAAAACAAAGCAGCUUUUUUUAAAAAGCAGAGAUUUUUAUUAACACAUAGUAUUUUAAAUUUUCUAACAUAAAAACAAAAUGAGAAUUGUCAUGAUCAAAAAGUUUAGCACACCUAUCCUCUGGAUAUAUGAAUAUACUCAUAAAGCCACAUAUUAUAAAAUUUAUCUUUGGUUAAUUUCUUUGUAGACAAAAUAGCACACUUAUGCCCUGCAAUUUCUAAAAUUAUAUGUGAGAAGAAUCCAACCCACUUUGUAUUGUAACAUAAUCUUAACCAUAUCAAUUUGUAAUAUUUAUUUAUUUAUUUGACAGGCAGGAUGUUAGACAGAGAGAGGUUGCUUAUUGGCUGGUUCACUCCCGAAAUAGCCAUAACAGUCAGGAGUGGGCCAGGCUGAAGCCAGGAGCUGGAAACUCCAUCUGGGUCUCCCACAUGAGUGGAAGGGGCCUGUAACACAAGCAGCAACUUAAUCUGCUGUACCAUAAUGCCAGACCCUCAUAUCAAUUUUUUAAUGCAUCAAAACCAAAUUUUCUCAGGGUACAAAAGUGGUGACAGAAGCCUAUUUAAAAAAUGAUGUAUAUGUAGGUACAACUACAACAAAAUAUUUUGUUGUCUUUCACAAAUUCAAACUGUAAUACAAUGGCACCACCUGUUGAUUGAGUGGCGGAACUGAAAUCCUAAAAUGAUAUUACAAUAUCAAAUAUUGUUUGGAAUUAUAAAUCGAGGAAUAGAACAUGUCAUUGACAAUUGAUGACAAAUCAGUGAGAAGCCUCUAUGAUAUUAGAUUUGAUCACAUCAAUUCCUUCCUUCAUUCUGGCAUUCUGUACAAUGACUCAGCUUUUAUCUAAAACCUAAUCAUUGCAUGAACCUAGAAAAAUAUGUAAUUAAGAUUAGUUUCUUAAAUAUAAUUAAGUGUAUAUUUUAGAAGAAAAUAUUGUUAACAUAGACUUUUUCAUACAAUAUGCAGUCACAUUGGACUGAACAUUAGUGUUCUGUAGAAUAUAUUUUGGGAGACUUAAGCUUUAUUUUUUGGAAAAAUACCAGACUGGAUAAAUAACAGUAGACACAUUUAAAAACAGCUUUUAUAACAUGGCAGAUAUACCCUCAAAUGAAUACUUCUACUUGUGAGGAAGCAAGGAACAUUCCUCCAGGUAAAACCUUCAAAAGAAGCCGGCGCCGUGGCUCAAUAGGCUAAUCCUCCACCUUGCGGCGCCGGCACACCGGGUUCUAGUCCCGGUUGGGGCGCCGGAUUCUGUCCCGGUUGCCCCUCUUCCAGGCCAGCUCUCUGCUAUGGCCAGGGAGUGCAGUGGAGGAUGGCCCAGGUGCUUGGGCCCUGCACCCCAUGGGAGACCAGGAAAAGCACCUGGCUCCUGGCUCCUGCCAGGAUCAGCGCGGUGCGCCGGCUGCAGCGGCGGCCAUUGGAGGGUGAACCAGCGGCAAAGGAAGACCUUUCUCUCUCUGUCUCUCUCUCUCACUGUCCACUCUGCCUGUCAAAAAUAAAAAAAAAUAAAAAAAAAAAAA